UAGAAUAAUGUAUUGUGUCAC
rnacentral:piRNA from 1 species